rnacentral:lncRNA from 10 species
AUUCUGAGCUUCUGGGAGUUAAGACCCCAACAUGUAAAUCUGGAGGGAUGCAAUUCAACACGUAAUAUUCCCUAACACAAUAUUUCCAUAACAGUCUGUAGCGUCUUCUUCAGGCUAAGGGAUUGGGGCCUCAUCUAUCAGAGUUGUAAUAAGGAACAAAGGUUGUUGAAGAUAGUGCUUCUGACUUUAUUGUGUGGAGCAGAUUGUGCUGGGGCAACAGUGAUGUAACCAGACAUCAGGAGGCUGCCAAAGGCCCCUCAUGUGAGAGGUCAUGGAGCCUCACAGGACUGGGUCAGAAGGGGCAGAGUCUGAAAGAAGUGGAUACCAAGUCAUCAGAGCUGGGGUGGGGAUCCAACCCAGGCUGACGAAGCAAGAGAGCCAACAAGGACUCCGUGGUCUCAGACCUGAAACCAGAAUAGCCAUGACAUUUGUGAUGAUAUGCAAGCUGGGAGAAAGACCAGGCUUGGUGGGGAGCGUGAGUGGCUUUCUGGCAGCAGAG